UAACAUAACAGUAUGCCACCAUAAUUAUUUAAUGCAUGAAAUAAAACGUUAGCUAGGUGUUUGUGUGGUGGACGCAUUUUUUACGGCUGAACGGAAUUGACCGUCAAACGAGGGAAAAUCAAUAUUUCCCCUUAUAUCACCGCCACUGAUUUAAUAAAUAAAAUCAAUUUUUAUUAAAUUAUUUGCCACUCCUAAAAACGUGAUUUUUAGAGAAUUAAUUCCUAGAUAUAAUUAGGAACACUUUGCAACGUCAUUCGAGUUAAACAAACAUAUAGAAAUAUUUAAUUAAUUAAUUAAAUAAAGCCCAGGGUCAGAGUAAUAGGGGGAGGAUGGAGAAGCUUUCUGGGUGUAUUUGUGUGCUGUGAGAAGAAAAUUUCUCAGAGAGGUACGGAUUAUUGUACUGCCGUGCAAAGCACAGAGGUGGUAACUUGUAGUUUGGCCAUUUUGAGAUAUUUACAGAUGUAAUGAAGUAAAAUUUAAAUAUUUAAAUUUAAAUCUGAUUGAUUUACUGUGGUUGAUCAAUUACCCUGAGUUAACCCCGUAAGCGUAAACUAUUUUAUCAACGUCGCUGGGUGCGCUAAUUUAAGGGACUCGUCCACCAGACUAACUUAGAAACUAUGUAGGGGAGAAAAUUUUCAAUAAUUGCCGAUAUCAGGCGAGCUGAUUAGCUAUAAGGGCAAUACAGCAGUGAAGAAGACUGAACCGGACCAGCAAUCCAAGUGAACACCUGAGACCGUGUACGUGAUAUAAAAAAAGAUAUAAAAACAAUUUGGGGAGUUUUGAAAAGGAGAAGGAAAUCGGUAGCGUCGGACUCGGACCUAAUCAAGCACUUGAUUAAAAGAUCAAAACGAGGGUUUGCGGUAUGCUUGUACUGGCGAAAAAAGUCUUGGGUUACCACGCAUUCUGAACAAAAACGAGUAGAUACAUUUUUCUCGCAAGAGCAUAGCAAGGUACCUAUGAAAGUGCAUGCACGAUAAGAAGAACAGACAAAGAUCGACAGAUAGGAUAGUAUACCUGUCUCUCUCUCUCUCUCUAACAAAAAAGCAGAGCCUAUCCUCAAACCCAACUACGUCAUCUAGCUGCAUGCUCAUCUUGCAUCCACACUUACCUGCGUACAUUUAUUUACUAUACAGUAACAAGAGAGUAUGUAUGUGUGUGUACGGACGUAGUACCCAAAAAUAUAGUUUGCUGCGACUCAGUGGGACACCUGCACGUGUG